rnacentral:rRNA from 1 species
UACCAGCACCCCGAGUGGUCGGGACGAUUAUUGGGCCUAAAGCAUCCGUAGCCGGUUUUACAAGUCCUCCGUUAAAUCCAACUGCUUAACAGAUGGGCCGCGGAGGAUACUAUAAGACUAGGAGGCAGGAGAGGCAAGCGGUACUCAGUGGGUAGGGGUAAAAUCCGUUGAUCCAUUGAAGACCACCAGUGGCGAAGGCGGCUUGCCAGAAUGCGCUCGACGGUGAGGGAUGAAAGCUGGAGGAGCAAACCGG